GGGUCAGUAGGUUGGUCGUGCCACCGGUACGUACUGGUCUCACUGAUUCCUCCUUCCUGAAGAACCUUAAUGCCAUUAAUUUGGUGUUGCGGGGAAACAGGACUGUUACUUUGAAAAAUUUAGAGUGUUUAAAGCAAGCUAACGCUUGAAUACAUUAGCAUGGAAUAAUGAAAUAGGACGAUCGAUCCUAUUUUGUUGGUUUCUAGGAUUGACGUA
rnacentral:rRNA from 1 species